UUUUAUUUUUGUCUGGCUUUAAAACUGGGAUUAAACAGUCUGUUUUCCAUUCUGCAGGAAUAGUAUUCUCCUUCCAUAGGCGAUUAAGAAUAUUUAAAAAGAUGUUGAGACUGUGGCAAUUAAGUUUUUUGAGUAAAAUAUAUGGAAUGGUAUCAAGACCGAAAGAUGUAUCUCUUCUAGUAAAUAAAGCGGAUUUUAGUUCUUGUAAAGAAAAAGGCUCUAUCAAAUAUUUAUUACUAUCAUUAACAACAUUUACAUAGUUAGUUAACUCAUUUGAUACAAAGUCAGAAGUAUACUUUUGUAGAAAAUCUGGAAUCCAACUAUCAUUCAACACACUGUCAGGAAUCAUUUAAAACUGCUUCUGUACACUUCUGAUUCCACCAAGGCAACCAAGGAUAUUUAAAAGAUUUUUGUGAACAAGAACUAGUAACAUUAUUACUAUUAGAACUUUUGGAAAACAGACAGCUAGGGAUUGACUGCUUGGCAGCAGAAAGUAAAAUAUUACAAAAGGAAUUAAAAGCAUCUAUUGAAGAUAAAGUGUCAAAUUUAACAUCAUCCAAAUAAGAAACAACUAAGUUACUAUACAUAUUCCAAUUCACCUGCUUAUAAUUAGGGGAGAUGAUAACUACUGCCCAGAGGACUGUCAAUAACUGACCAGUCACAUAAAAGAGCCAAUGAUGGAGUUACCAAAGUCAAGUCAAGAGCAUUAGGACGCCAAGAUGGAGAUCCUAUUGUGGUAGCUUGACCAUUAUUCAGAAUAACAAGACCAUUCUCAUCUAUAACCUCUAAAACAUCUUUACCUCGAGGCAAUGUAUCAACACAUCCCCACAACAUGUGAUGAGCAUUGAAAUCACCUGCAAAUAUCAUUGGCUCUGGAAUGGACUUAAUUAAACUGUUUAAAUUGUUUUUAUUAAAUGGAGGAUUUGAAUUGGAAGGACUGUAAAAACUUACAAUACUCAGUUCUUUGUUAUUAAUUUUAAUUUUAAUGCAAACAUUUUGUAGAGCACUAUCAAAAUAUGUAUUUAUGUUAGAAAAUGUGAUAUUAUUAUGAAUAAAAAUUGCUACACCA